ensembl:lncRNA
UUGGUGUUUUCCUCUGGCGUCUGGAUGUGCACAGAGUGCAGUCUCUUCUGGUUUCCCAGGCGUGUCUGCCUCUCUGAAGGUUCAGCUCUCCCUCCCACGGGAUUUGGGUGCACAGAACUGUUUAUCCGGUCUGUUUCCUUCAGGUUCCGGCGGUGUCUCAGGCGCAGGGGUCCUGCCGCUCCCGGAACAUCCGACUUCUUAACCAAUAAAAUAUGCUCCUCAAACAUUCUAGCUACUCGUCUACAUCUUCCUCUGCUCCAUUCUUUUUACAUCACCUACUCCCAAGGGAUUGAUCUGGAGUCGAUUUGUGCUGUGUCAUCAACCACAAUCUAAUUAGGAACCACUUUGCGACUUUUAAACAGCAUGGAUGUAAUUCAAGGCCUGUCUCUAAAAGAUUCCUUAGGAUUCAAGAAAAUCAAAGUUACUCAAGAG